AUCUAAAUAGCUUAAGAAAUAGAGCACAUCAUUGAAGAUGGUGGGGUAAUAAUAUAAUUUUUAGAUA
rnacentral:tRNA from 1 species